rnacentral:sRNA from 1 species
GCCUGGCGCAGUGGCGUAUGCCUGUAAUCCCAGCUGCUAGGGAGGCUGAGGCAGGAGGAUCUCGAGUUCAAAGCCAGCCUCAGCAACAAUGAGGCCCUUAGCAACUCAGUGAGAUCCUAUCUCUA